rnacentral:rRNA from 2 species
GAAACCGAGUCUUAAUUGGGCGUUAAGUUGCAGGGUAUAGACCCGAAACCCGGUGAUCUAGCCAUGGGCAGGUUGAAGGUUGGGUAACACUAACUGGAGGACCGAACCGACUAAUGUUGAAAAAUUAGCGGAUGACCUGUGGCUGGGGGUGAAAGGCCAAUCAAACCGGGAGAUAGCUGGUUCUCCCCGAAAGCUAUUUAGGUAGCGCCUCGUGAAUUCAUCUCCGGGGGUAGAGCACUGUUUCGGCUAGGGGGCCAUCCCGGCUUACCAACCCGAUGCAAACUGCGAAUACCGGAGAAUGUUAUCACGGGAGACACACGGCGGGUGCUAACGUCCGUCGUGAAGAGGGAAACAACCCAGACCGCCAGCUAAGGUCCCAAAGUCAUGGUUAAGUGGGAAACGAUGUGGGAAGGCCCAGACAGCCAGGAUGUUGGCUUAGAAGCAGCCAUCAUUUAAAGAAAGCGUAAUAGCUCACUGGUCGAGUCGGCCUGCGCGGAAGAUGUAACGGGGCUAAACCAUGCACCGAAGCUGCGGCAGCGACACUGUGUGUUGUUGGGUAGGGGAGCGUUCUGUAAGCCUGCGAAGGUGGCCUGUGAGGGUUGCUGGAGGUAUCAGAAGUGCGAAUGCUGACAUAAGUAACGAUAAAGCGGGUGAAAAGCCCGCUCGCCGGAAGACCAAGGGUUCCUGUCCAACGUUAAUCGGGGCAGGGUGAGUCGACCCCUAAGGCGAGGCCGAAAGGCGUAGUCGAUGGGAAACGGGUUAAUAUUCCCGUACUUGGUGUUACUGCGAAGGGGGGACGGAGAAGGCUAUGUUGGCCGGGCGACGGUUGUCCCGGUUUAAGCGUGUAGGUGUGUGUUCCAGGUAAAUCCGGUUCACUUUAACACUGAGGCGUGACGACGAGGCACUACGGUGCUGAAGCAACAAAUGCCCUGCUUCCAGGAAAAGCCUCUAAGCAUCAGGUAACAUCAAAUCGUACCCCAAACCGACACAGGUGGUCAGGUAGAGAAUACCAAGGCGCUUGAGAGAACUCGGGUGAAGGAACUAGGCAAAAUGGUGCCGUAACUUCGGGAGAAGGCACGCUGACACGUAGGUGAAGUGAUUUACUCAUGGAGCUGAAGUCAGUCGAAGAUACCAGCUGGCUGCAACUGUUUAUUAAAAACACAGCACUGUGCAAACACGAAAGUGGACGUAUACGGUGUGACGCCUGCCCGGUGCCGGAAGGUUAAUUGAUGGGGUCAGCGCAAGCGAAGCUCCUGAUCGAAGCCCCGGUAAACGGCGGCCGUAACUAUAACGGUCCUAAGGUAGCGAAAUUCCUUGUCGGGUAAGUUCCGACCUGCACGAAUGGCGUAAUGAUGGCCAGGCUGUCUCCACCCGAGACUCAGUGAAAUUGAACUCGCUGUGAAGAUGCAGUGUACCCGCGGCAAGACGGAAAGACCCCGUGAACCUUUACUAUAGCUUGACACUGAACAUUGAGCCUUGAUGUGUAGGAUAGGUGGGAGGCUUUGAAGUGUGGACGCCAGUCUGCAUGGAGCCGACCUUGAAAUACCACCCUUUAAUGUUUGAUGUUCUAACGUGGACCCGUUACCCGGGUUGCGGACAGUGUCUGGUGGGUAGUUUGACUGGGGCGGUCUCCUCCUAAAGAGUAACGGAGGAGCACGAAGGUUGGCUAAUCCUGGUCGGACAUCAGGAGGUUAGUGCAAUGGCAUAAGCCAGCUUGACUGCGAGCGUGACGGCGCGAGCAGGUGCGAAAGCAGGUCAUAGUGAUCCGGUGGUUCUGAAUGGAAGGGCCAUCGCUCAACGGAUAAAAGGUACUCCGGGGAUAACAGGCUGAUACCGCCCAAGAGUUCAUAUCGACGGCGGUGUUUGGCACCUCGAUGUCGGCUCAUCACAUCCUGGGGCUGAAGUAGGUCCCAAGGGUAUGGCUGUUCGCCAUUUAAAGUGGUACGCGAGCUGGGUUUAGAACGUCGUGAGACAGUUCGGUCCCUAUCUGCCGUGGGCGCUGGAGAACUGAGGGGGGCUGCUCCUAGUACGAGAGGACCGGAGUGGACGCAUCACUGGUGUUCGGGUUGUCAUGCCAAUGGCACUGCCCGGUAGCUAAAUGCGGAAGAGAUAAGUGCUGAAAGCAUCUAAGCACGAAACUUGCCCCGAG